CUUGCUUUAGGAAGCGGAAGACUAAUGACCGAAGCUUCAAGACUUUGACAUGUGUGAAAACAUGAAAUGACCCUUGGCUCUUAUUGUUCUUGCUGGUGUGGUAUGUUCACGGCUGAAAAGAUGGUCAGAAGGGGAAAGGAGGAAGUGAGAAGAAAGAAACAGGGAAAUGGCUGGAGUGCGAUGGCAUGAUCUUGGCUCACGGCAAACUCCGCCUCCCUGGUUCAAGUGAUUCUCCUGCCUCAGCCUCCCGAGUAGCCGGGAUUACAGGCAUGUGCCACCAUGCCCCGUUGGCCAGGCUGGUCUCGAACACCUUACCUCAGGUGAUCCUCCCACCUUUGGGAUUACAGACCCUGCAUGUGAUGGAUCAGCUGACACCAUCCAGAUCGGUAAACUGGUUCAUCUGAUCUUGUGCCCUCCACCCAGGAACUGACUCAGCGCAAGAAGACAGCUUCGACUCCUUGUGAUUUCAUCCCUAACCAAUCAGCACUCCUGGCUCACUGGCUUCCCCCAACCCACCAAAUUGUCCUUAAAAACUCUGCUCUCCAAACGCUGGGGGAGACUGAUUUGAGUAAUAAUAAAACCCUGGUCUCCUGCA
ensembl:lncRNA PCED1B-AS1 PCED1B antisense RNA 1